UGGCGGACGGGUGAGUAAUGUCUGGGAAACUGCCCGAUGGAGGGGGAUAACACUGGAAACGGUAGCUAAUACCGCAUAACGUCGCAAGACCAAAGAGGGGGACCUUCGGGCCUCUUGCCAUCGGAUGUGCCCAGAUGGGAUUAGCUAGUAGGUGGGGUAACGGCUCACCUAGGCGACGAUCCCUAGCUGGUCUGAGAGGAUGACCAGCCACACUGGAACUGAGACACGGUCCAG
rnacentral:rRNA from 1 species